GAUGAACGCUGGCGGCGUGCCUAAUACAUGCAAGUCGAGCGAACGGACGAGAAGCUUGCUUUUCUGAUGUUAGCGGCGGACGGGUGAGUAACACGUGGAUAACCUACCUAUAAGACUGGGAUAACUUCGGGAAACCGGAGCUAAUACCGGAUAAUAUUUUGAACCGCAUGGUUCAAAAGUGAAAGACGGUCUUGCUGUCACUUAUAGAUGGAUCCGCGCUGCAUUAGCUAAUUGGUAAGGUAACGGCUUACCAAGGCAACGAUGCAUAGCCGACCUGAGAGGGUGAUCGGCCACACUGGAACUGAGACACGGUCCAGACUCCUACGGGAGGCAGCAGUAGGGAAUCUUCCGCAAAGGGCGAAAGCCUGACGGAGCAACGCCGCGUGAGUGAUGAAGGUCUUCGGAUCGUAAAACUCUGUUAUUAGGGAAGAACAUAUGUGUAAGUAACUGUGCACAUCUUGACGGUACCUAAUCAGAAAGCCACGGCUAACUACGUG
rnacentral:rRNA from 1 species